GAGCCUGGGGAACAGUGGGUUAACUGCCUUGCUCAGGGGCAGAAUUACAGAUUUUUACCUUGUCAACUCAGGGAUUCGAUCCAGCAAACUUUCGGUUACUGGCCCAGCAACAUUUUGGUUACUAAGCACUAGGCUACCUGUAUGUUAAGUUUAGCAUGAAUACAGUAUAUAGUUGUUGUUGCAGUUGUUCUUCAUAUGUUUAAUAUUACUGACAUACUAACAGUAAGUAGAGAUAUUAGUGUAUUACCUGUAUAUUUCAGAUGCUGGUGCUGCUACUGCUGGACCAAGUGAUGUGAUGUACAGAUUCAACACAGAAAGUUGGACAAGAAAAAGAAAACUGAUCCAAAAGAAAAUCCAGUCUAUUCUGAGGUCAAGACAGGGAAGACCACAGCAGCAACUGGACCUGUUGAUGUGACCUAUGCUGAGGUUGACUUUAAACAGAAGGCCAAAGCCAAGAAGAAGAAAGAAACAGCAACCCCACCUGAGACAGAUUCAGUCUAUUCUCAAGUGAAGCCAGGUACAGCCCCAGGUACUUGAGGGGGCAGGGAUGGAGGGAUUGAGUAAUGGAGGGAUGAAAGGAUGGAGGGAUGGAAGAACACACCAUCCGAGGAGGAACCUGGAAUAUGGCUUUUGUACGCUCAACACACACACAAACACACACAAAAUAACACCUUGUACAUUAAGGAGUUCUUACCUAUUUUAUUUACUUAUUUUAUUGUAUUUAAGCAUGGUUUAAUUGUGUUUUAUUGUAGCAGCUUUUUUAUUAUAAGGUGUAAUGCUGAUGGAUCUUAUCUGCAGCCACAGUAAUUGUGUCUGCUUUGUAUUGUGUAUUGAAUUGUGAUGUUGAUUUCUCUGUCAUUCAGAUGAUAGAAUAAAAUAUCUGUACAUGAAUUUCCAAAAAGUAUUAUUCACGUUUUCUUCUAAUGGCCUGUACUUUUACAAUAUCUUUGCGUUGUGCUUUAUUAAUAAA